rnacentral:misc_RNA from 1 species
GAUGAAGAACGCAGCGAAAUGCGAUACGUAAUGUGAAUUGCAGAAUUCAGUGAAUCAUCGAGUCUUUGAACGCACAUUGCGCCCCUUGGUAUUCCGAGGGGCAUGCCUGUUCGAGCGUCAUUAUAACCCCUCAAGCUCAGCUUGGUGUUGGGGCCUGCUGCACUGGCAGCCCUUAAAAUCAGUGGCGGCGCCAUCUGGCUCUAAGCGUAGUAAUUCUUCUCGCUAUGGAGUCCUGGUGGAUGCUUGCCAUCAACCCCCAAUUUUUCUAUGGUUGACCUCGGAUCAGGUAGGGAUACCCGCUGAACUUAAGCAUAUCAAUAAGCGGAGGA